rnacentral:rRNA from 1 species
UUGGUACUGAGACACGGACCAAACUCCUACGGGAGGCAGCAGUGAGGAAUAUUGGUCAAUGGACGCAAGUCUGAACCAGCCAUGCCGCGUGCAGGAUGACGGCUCUAUGAGUUGUAAACUGCUUUUGUACGAGGGUAAACUCACCUACGUGUAGGUGACUGAAAGUAUCGUACGAAUAAGGAUCGGCUAACUCCGUGCCAGCAGCCGCGGUAAUACGGAGGAUUCAAGCGUUAUCCGGAUUUAUUGGGUUUAAAGGGUGCGUAGGCGGUUAGAUAAGUUAGAGGUGAAAUCCCGGGGCUUAACUCCGAAAUUGCCUCUAAUACUGUUUGACUAGAGAGUAGUUGCGGUAGGCGGAAUGUAUGGUGUAGCGGUGAAAUGCUUAGAGAUCAUACAGAACACCGAUUGCGAAGGCAGCUUACCAAACUAUAUCUGACGUUGAGGCACGAAAGCGUGGGGAGCAAACAGGAUUAGAUACCCUGGUAGUCCACGCAGUAAACGAUGAUAACUCGCUGUCGGCGAUACACAGUCGGUGGCUAAGCGAAAGCGAUAAGUUAUCCACCUGGGGAGUACGUUCGCAAGAAUGAAACUCAAAGGAAUUGACGGGGGCCCGCACAAGCGGAGGAACAUGUGGUUUAAUUCGAUGAUACGCGAG